UAGUGCAGCCCGUGGAGUGCAGCAGCAGCAGCAGCAGCAGCACCUCGCCCGUAGCCCCGUCGGUCGGUCAGCCCGGCCUAGCUGUCCGACCUUCGGGCCUUCGCCGGGGCUGACUCAUCCUUCACCCAGCCACGGACCUUUGACCUUUUGUCCAUUAUUUGGGAGAGAGAGAAUUGGCGACUCUAGUUGGACAUCUUGGGAUCAAACUGCAUGUGCACACUCCUUUUUUCCUUUCGAGGACUUUAUUGGUGGAAAGGGUCAAGAGCUUCGAAUUCCUGAGCGUGCAUAUUUCCGAAGAUCUUUCCUGGUCCCAGCUCACUGAUGCAAUCAUAAAGAAAGCACAUCAGCGCCUCUACUUCCUGAGAAGAUUACGGAGAGUCGGUUUGUCAAGAAGGACUCUCUCUCCAACUUCUACAGUUGCACAGUAGAGAGCAUACUGACCGGUUGCAUCGUGGCUUGGUUCGGCAACCCGAGCGCCCAGGAGCGGAAAAGGCUGCAGAAUGUUGUGAUCACUGCCCAGUCCAUCAUCGGCUCUGAUCUCCCCACCAUCGAGGGGAUCUAUCGCAGUGGCUGCCUCAAAAAGCUAGCCAACAUCAUCAAGGACCCACACACCAUCCUGGCCACACACUCAUCUCCCCGCUACCAUCGGGCAGAAGAAAUUUAACACAUUCGGCGGAGCUCUAAUGAUCUAGAGGUGCUUGUCGAGAUAAAACUCACCCUCAUCGUGGCUUGGUUCGGCAACCUGAGCGCCCAGGAGUGGAAAAGACUGCAAAAAGUUGUAAACGCUGCCCAGUCCAUCAUCGGCUCUGACCUUCCUUCCAUCGAGGGGAUUUAUCACAGUCGCUGCCUCAAAAAGGCUGGCAGUAUCAUCAAGGACCCACACACCAUCCUGGCCACACACUCAUCUCCCUGCUACCUUCAGGUAGAAGGUACAGGAGCCUGAAGACUGCAACGUCCAGGUUCAGGAAUAGCUACUUCCCCACAGCCAUCAGACUAUUAAACAAAAAUCUGAACUAUAA